rnacentral:lncRNA from 1 species
AUCCCCUGUGUCAGUCACCGAAAAUCUGGGAAUGAAUUGUGACCACUGGCCAUGUUCAUUAGUUCUUAUUUAUGAGGAGUUGACAAGCACCGUCUACCACGUCUCUUAGGGUGGCUGUAAAUUUCCCACUGUCCCAGGGAAAGACAUUAUAUUCUGUUCCGUGGUGUGCUGGAUAGCAACAGGUACUGUGAUGGGUUGAGAA